rnacentral:rRNA from 1 species
CAGUAGCCGCGGGAAUACGUAGGUGGCAAGCGUUGUCCGGAAUCAUUGGGCGUAAAGCGCGCGCAGGUGGUUCCUUAAGUCUGAUGUGAAAGCCCACGGCUCAACCGUGGAGGGUCAUUGGAAACUGGGGGACUUGAGUGCAGAAGAGGGAAGUGGAAUUCCAAGUGUAGCGGUGAAAUGCGUAGAUAUUUGGAGGAACACCAGUGGCGAAGGCGACUUUCUGGUCUGUAACUGACACUGAGGCGCGAAAGCGUGGGGAGCAAACAGGAUUAGAUACCCCGGUAGUCCCUGUCUCUUAUAC